rnacentral:lncRNA from 1 species
GACCAAAAGUUUAAUUUGCUCAAUCCAAAUAGCUCUCCACUGUACUACAUCGCAACUGAUGAGCAUUCAAAUGUACUGCAAUACUCCAUUGCCAAUUAAUUACAUAUCUACGCAUAUGACAAUGGGAACAAUACAGCAUAUUGGGAGUUCAACAGUGCCCAUUUUCUAUGCAAUAAUCACUUUAAGUAAGCAGUGAUUAUGUAAUGAGCAUAAAACUAAAUGUUGAAUGAAUAUCAUUAAGUUCAUAAGCAUACAAGUUCUUCGGAAAUUAAGAACUCACAAAUGCGAAGUAGAAAUUCAGAAUCAGAACUCGCCCAUUGAAUGGCAGAAGACAUGAGCUUUUUUCAACCCAAGUGAUCCAUUAGAGUCAUUGCAUCUUUCGCUAUAAUUCUUGUCAUGUCACGUAAAACAAAAUAAAAUUCUUAAUCUUUCGGUAACGAUUAAAAAUCUGAUUUAUACUUUCAGCUACAUGAAAUUAUAAGGCUAAAUAUAAUACAAUAGUCAGCUUCCAGGAUGCCAAACUAGUUCACAUAAAUAUGAUGAUUCGGUCUACUCGCCAAAUACAACAAAGCCCAACGUUUUUAACUCCUCCUCCUCAUUAUUAUUAUUAUUAUUUUGAAACUCAUCAACAUUCAUUAUUUUUUGACAGUUCAUAAACCUUAAAGAAGAGUAAUCAUUAAAUUGAAAACCUUCAUUUUCAAGUUAUUUUGAAUUUCUCAAGAUUAAAUUAUCGCCGCAUAUGCAGUUGAAUAGGUGCUGUGAAGUUGGGAAACUUUAUUUCCAAUGAACCCACAAAAAAAUAUUUUUCGUGACUCAAGUGCGAAAGGGGUUCAAGAAUCUCUUUUAAACUAAAAUCUCUUAUGUGGCUUCACAAAAGUCCUCCAUUUUGCACCCAAAAUCAGGGGGAGGAAAUAGAAGAAA